GUGUUAAAAAGAUGGCGAUGGGUGCCGGCCGGGUGGGAACUGGGAACUGGGAACUGGGAACUGGGAAGGCGAUCGAGUCGGUUCCCAGAGUGUGUCGAACGAACACAGGAGCGAGCUCAGCGAUUCCAAAAGGCUGCCCUGCCCUGCUCUGCUCUGCUCUGCCGCCGCUUGCUUUUGCUGCACCUCCACUCCGCAUGACUUUAUCCGGUUAGAUAAGAAAAAGUCGACCUUGCCUUGCCUUCGGCCUCCCCCACCCCAAAAAUUCCUUCUUUUGGCCGUCUCCUCCUCCGCGUACCCUCCUCGGACCUUUCCACAAACGCCCAAACAUUCCCUGCUGCUACCAGAUUCUUCUUCUUCUUCUUCUUCUUCUUCUUCUUCUUCUUCUUCUUGAUCCACCCGUGCCGCGAGAUUCAAAUUUUCAAGCUCUAGCUUCGGUCCAAGGCCCUAACGGGCAUGGGCUCCCACACCUAGCCAACCGCCAUGGAGGAAGGCGAGGGAGAGAGCUCGUCGCCUGCGAGGCCCCUCCCAGGUGUCCCCUCCCCUCACGAUGCCAUCUGCAACGAUAUCUACGACCGCCUCAUCGACAGCGGCAACGACGAGGCGGUCUUCAACCCCAACCUACGCGACCUCCUCGAGUCGCACCUUGCCCGCUUGCCCCUGCGGUAUGGGCUCGAUCUGAACAUGGAUAGAGUAGAGGACGUCCUAUUACAUCAGAAGAUUCUUGCAGAUGCUGAGGAUCCAGAAAAGCGGCCAAUCUUCUAUGUCCGCUUUAUGAAGUGCAUUUGGACUAGUGCAUAUGGAAAUGAUGGUCCGCAACAGUCUGUUGAUUCAACUGGCGAAGGGUCUUGUGAUCGUGUACAUGAGAGAAUCAUUGCACCAAAUUUGAGAAGAAAUGGAGACCAAGGUAUUGAAUUUGAACCAUGCUCAAAGCUUGAAGAUUUAAAUUUAGAUGUUAGAGAUGUUGCUCAGGAUGAUGGAGAAGCAGAGGAGGCUCUUUCUGCUAGGCAAGACAUCAAGGACGUCCCAGUUCAUGAGAUAAUAUUUUCAUCAAUUGACAAGCCCAAGCUCCUUAGCCAGUUAUCUGCUUUGCUUGCCGACAUUGGGCUAAACAUACGUGAAGCUCAUGUUUUUUCAACAACUGAUGGCUAUUCUUUGGACUGGUUUGAAGUUGACGGUUGGCCUGAGGAGGAAACGGAGGGCUUGAUUAGGGAGCUUGAUUCUGCAGUCGCAAAUAAUGAGGGGUCCCUCUCUGGUGCAUCUCUUUCUUCAGCUAGUGAUAAGGCGCUUGCAUCAUUAAUGAAGGUCGGUGAUUGGGAAAUUGAUAAAAGAUGCUUGAAGAUGGGAAAGAAGAUUGCAUGUGGUUCUUGUGGCGAUUUGUAUCGUGCUACCUACUUAGGCCAGGACGUUGCGGUAAAGAUUCUUAAAGCUGAAAAGCUUAAUGAAGCGAUGGCCUUGGAAUUCAAUCAAGAAGUAGAAAUUUUAAGGAAAGUUCACCACAAUAAUGUUGUUAGCUUUAUUGGUGCAUGCACAAUGCCUAAUGAAUUUUGUAUUGUAACAGAGUACAUGACGGGUGGUAACCUUUAUGAUUACCUGCACAAGGAUCACAUGACUUUGGAGCUUCCCCAAUUACUGAAGUUUGCAAUUGAUAUCUGCAAAGGGAUGGAUUACUUACAUGAAAACAAUAUCAUUCACAGGGAUCUAAAGACAGCUAACCUCCUGAUGGAUGCCAACAAUGUCGUGAAGGUGGCUGACUUCGGUGUGGCUCGGUUUCAGAAUGAAGAGGGAAUUAUGACUGCUGAAACUGGAACAUACCGAUGGAUGGCUCCUGAGGUUAUAAACCACCAACUCUACGAUCACAAGGCUGAUGUGUUCAGUUUUGCAAUUGUGCUGUGGGAGCUAGCGACAUCUAGGGUUCCGUAUGAAAAAAUGUCACCCUUGCAAGCUGCUCUCGGAGUUAGACAGGGCCUACGUCCAGAUCCUCCGAAUCAUAUGCAUCCCAGGUUACAAGAUUUGAUGCAGAGAUGUUGGGACUCUAUUCCCGGUAAACGGCCAUCGUUUAAAGAGAUCACAGGAGAACUGGAGGAGCUUCUGCAGCUUGUUCAGAUUUGAUUCUUAUCUUGUACUCGACGAUACAAUCAGUAGGGGAAAAAGAACACUAGAGAAGACUGGAACUUUUCCCCUGGCAUCUGUUGAAGCGAGCGUGCAGUGAGCCAAGUCGCUGUAUUAUGAGAUAUAGAGUUACCGAUCGAUUUACUGCUUUUCUUCCUGAGUUUGGAUUUGUCAUUGUGUGCAAGUUGUUGAUACGCCCACAUGGAAAUAUUUCAGAAAUAUAUCUCUGUUCAAGCCCUCCUUAUACCAAGUUAAAAGUUACAAGUGACCUACUGCAAACCGCCGCACUGAGACAUCAACCAGCUACUGUAAAUAUUGCUCAAGUUGUUCCAUGGUUUUUUUUGUAUCCAUGCUUGUCAUCUCAUGUGUGCUAACCAUGUCUAUCAACCAAAUCCAUGUGAUUACAACUUUCCGUUUUUGUAUGUAACUAUCGCAAACUGCCUUCUGUAACACAAAUCUGAUCCCUCUUCCUUUGAGUUUUGAAUCAAAUCCUCGUCACACAAGAUCUA